rnacentral:rRNA from 1 species
GUGCCAGCCGCCGCGGUAAUACGGAGGAUGCGAGCGUUAUCCGGAUUUAUUGGGUUUAAAGGGUGCGUAGGCUGGUAAAUAAGUCAGCGGUGAAACUCACAGGCUCAACCUGUGCCGUGCCGUUGAAACUGUCUAUCUAGAAUUCGGAUGCUGUGGGAGGAAUGUGUAGUGUAGCGGUGAAAUGCAUAGAUAUUACACAGAACGCCGAUUGCGAAGGCAUCUCACAAAGCCGUUAUUGACGCUGAGGCACGAAAGUGUGGGGAUCAAACAGGAUUAGAUACCCUGGUAGUCCACUACUGUAAACUAUGAUAACUCGCUGCCGGCGAUAUAGAGUCGGUGGCCAAGCGAAAGCGAUAAGUUAUCCACCUGGGGAGUACGACCGCAAGGUUGAAACUCAAAGAAAUUGACGG